rnacentral:lncRNA from 1 species
UCCCACUUUACAGGUAGAGAGGCUGAGGUUCAGAGAGAUUAGGUAACUCAACUAAGGUCAAAAAGUUGGUCAGGGAGCUGGGCCUUUAUAUAAAACACCAAAAUGAGCCCUUGUGUAGAACCCUUGAGAGAGAUUUUAAUCUAAUGGCUGCAAUUUUAAAUUGUGUUCAGUUGUGGUAUGUAGUUUUUCAAGGAAGAUGACCCACAGCCUUUCUUGCUUUCUGGCUUUGGAAAAGGUAGAGAUGACCACUUAAACAUUCAAGGAAAAUAAUCCCUGACUUUGAAAUCAGAAGAUCAUUCAGAUAAUAUACUUACUUAUAAUCAUCCUCUCUAAUGUCUGACUAAAGCAAGAGUAAAAGAUUGACUGAACAGCAACAAAUACUUUAACAGUUAAAAAUAAAAUUGAUUGGUCUGUUGGAAACACAAAGCACUUUUAGCCCCAUUGGUUUUCUACCUGAAACCAGAGUGAAGUGACCUGAAGGAUCUCAUAAGAUAUAUAAGACCAGCAACUAUAGGAAAGAUGAUACUUUUCUUGAAGUCAUAUAUUGUCUAAGUUGAAGUUACAUGACUUAGAAGGUCAGAUGUGCCAUCUUUUCCCUUAAUGCCCCAGAGAUUCUCUUCACCAAGAAAAUGACUACAUACUUAUUUCAUUUAAAACAGACUCAGCCUAGUGAUGGUUUUCCUUCUUCUAUAAAAAAGCAGGCUAUUCAUGAAGAUAAGGACCCUUUUGGCUUUGCAACACGUUUUCAACAUUUUACUCAUGGACAUGAGAUGGUAAAACAAGAUGAAAAUGAUUCUUUUAUUGGGCAUUCAAUUAAAAAAUGUCAUGACUUUGCCAUUAGUUUGUAUAAAUCCUAGAAAUGAGUUUCAACGAGAGUGUGUUAUUAUGUUGGGAAAGAGACGGAAGUGUAUAACCUUGGGCAGAUCGUUUAACUUCUCUCUGCUUUACAGUUACAAGCGGUAAUACAAAGAGACAGGAUUAUAUGAUCUCCAAGGUCCCAUCCAGCCCAUUUAACACGGCAUUGUGGCUCUGGAGACCUGGAAGCACUGCUAACUGUUCUCUCGAUUUUCUGACGCUCGGCCACAUCAACCUGUCAUACUAGUUGUGAGGAGAAGUCAAGGACAGUGACACAGCCAGCCAGUCUGAGGCAUUUUCCAUCAUCCUGAAGGAGUUGCCCUAUCCUGCUUUUCACUGGAGGGGGCAUGGAUGGAUCUGGAAUGUAUAAUUGGAGUAGACAUUCUCAGCAGCUGGCGGAAACCCCGCAUUGGUUCCAUGACAUGUGGAAUGAAGGCUACGAUGGUAGGAAAAGAUAAGUGGAAGCUGCUAAAACUGCAUUUACCUUGAAAAAUAUUAAACACAAAGAAACACUACAUUCCUGGAAAGACUGCACCAUCAAGGACUUGAAAGACUCAGGGACGGGGUGAUUCUUAUGUUCUCACUCAACUUGCCUGUGCGGGAGUCAGAUGAAUCUUGGAGAAUGACAGUGGAUUAUUAUAAGCUUAACUAGGUGAUGACUCCAAUUGCAGCUGCUGUACUGGAUGUGGUUUCAUUGCUCGAGCAAGUUAAUACAUCCCCUGGUACCUAGUAUGCAGCUAUUGAUCUAGCAAAUGCCUUUUUCUCCUUACCUCUCAAUAAGAACAACCAGAAUCAGUUUGCUUUUAGCUAGUAAGGUCAGCAAUAUAGCUUCACUGUGCUGCAUCAGGGGUAUGUUAAUUCUCUACCACUAUGUCAUAAUUUAGUUUGCAGGAAUCUUUAUCACCUUUCCCUUCCAAAAGAUAUCACACUAGUCUAUUACACUGGUGACAUGAUGCUGAUUUGACGUAGUGAGCAAGAAGUAGCAACUACUCUAUAGUUAUUGGUAAGACAUUUGCAUGUCAGAGAAUGAAUUUUCAAGAAAAUUCAGUGAAAUUUCUAGGGGUCAGUAUGUGGAGCAUGUGAGAUAUUACUUCUAAGGUAAAGGAUAAGUUGAUGUAUUUGCCUCACCUUCAACCAUAAAAGAGGAACAAUGCCUAGUGGGCCUCUUUGGAUUCUGGAGGCAACAUACUCCUUAUUUGAGUGUGUUACUCUAGUCCAUUUACUGAGUAAACUGCUUUUCACUAGUUUUCAGUGAGGCCCAGAACAAGAAGAGACUCUGCAACAAGUCUAGGCUGCUGUGCAAGCUGCUCUGUCACUUGGGCCUUAUGAUCCGGUAGAUCCAAUGGUGCUUGAAGUGUCAGUGGUAGACAGGGAUGCUGUCUGGAGCCUUUGAUGGGCCCCCUAUUGGUGAAUCACAGUGCGGAUCCUUAGGAUUUUGGAACAAAGCCCUGAUAUCUUCUGUGGAUAACUACUCUCCUUUUGAGAAACAGUUCUUAGUUUGCUACUGGGCCUUAGUAGAGACUUAAUACUUAACUAUGCACUACUAAGUUACUAUUUGACCUGAGCUUCCCACCAUGAACUGAGUGUUGUCUUACUCGCAAAGCCAUGAAGUUGGGCAUGCACAGCAGCACUCCAUCAUCAAAUGGAAGUACUUUGUAUGAGAUUAGGUCAAAUCAGGCUCUUGGCACAAGUAAGUUACAUGAAAAGAAGGGGCCUAAUUGUCAUGGCACCCACUCCUAUUACAGGACCUUCUCUCUCCCGCCUGCUUCUGUGGCCUCACAGGGGAGCUCCUUGUGAUCAGUUGAUAGAGGAAAAAAGACUCAGGCCUGAUUUACAGAAGAUUCUGCAUGAUAUACAGCUACCACCUGAAAGUGGGCAGCUGCAGAACUGCAGACCUUCUCUGAAACAUUCCUCAAGGACAAUGGUGAAGAAAAAUCCUUCCAGUAGGCAGAACUUCAAGCAGUGCACCUGAUUGUUCACUUUGCUUGGGAGAAAAGGUAGGACAUGUGACUGUACACUGAUUCAUGGACUGUGGCCAAUGGUUUGGUAGAUGGUCAAGGACUUGAAAGGAACAUGACUGGAAUAUUGGUGAGAAGGAAAUUUGGGGAAGAAGUAUGUGGAUAGAUCUCUCUCAAUGGGCAAAAAACCAUGAAGAUAUUUGUGUCCCAUGUAAAUAUUUACAAAAGGAUAACCUCAGCAGAGGAAGACUGUAAUAAUAAAGUGGAUAGAAUAGCCCAUUCUGUAGCUACCACUCAGCUUCUUUCUCCAGCCAACCCUGUUCAUUGCCCAAUGGGCUCAUGAACAAAGUGGCCAUUGUGGCAAAAAAGGGGGGUUAUGCAUAGGCUCAGCGACAUAGACUCCUACUCACCAAGACCAACCUGGCUACAGCCACCACUGAGUUCUUAAUCUGCUAGAAGCAGAAACCAACACCGAGUCCCUAAUAUGGCACCAAUCCUCAUGGUGGCCAGCCAGCUCCUGGGUGGCAGGUUGAUUAUAUUGGACUGCUUCCAUCAUGGAAGAGACAGCAGUUUGUCCUCACUGAAAUAGAUAUUUACACUGGAUAUACAUUUUUCUUCCUGCACACAAUGCUUCUCCCAAAACUACCAUCCAUGGACUUACGGAAUGCUUUAUCCACCAUCUUGGUAUUCCACACAGCAUUGCUUCUGACUAAGGAACUUACUUCACUGCCAAAGAAGCAUGGCAAUGGGUAUAUGCUCAUGGAAUUCCCUGGUCUUACCAUGUUUCCUGCCAUCCUAUAGCUGCUGGCUUGAUAGAGUGGUGGAAUGGUUUUUUGAAAUCACAGUUGUAAUUCCAGCACUUUGGGAGGCUGAGGUGGGUGGAUCACCUGAGGUCAGGAGUU